GAUGAACGCUGGCGGCGUGCCUAAUACAUGCAAGUCGAGCGAACGGAUAAGGAGCUUGCUCCUUUGAAGUUAGCGGCGGACGGGUGAGUAACACGUGGGUAACCUACCUAUAAGACUGGAAUAACUUCGGGAAACCGGAGCUAAUGCCGGAUAACAUUUGGAACUGCAUGGUUCUAAAGUAAAAGAUGGUUUUGCUAUCACUUAUAGAUGGACCCGCGCCGUAUUAGCUAGUUGGUAAGGUAACGGCUUACCAAGGCAACGAUACGUAGCCGACCUGAGAGGGUGAUCGGCCACACUGGAACUGAGACACGGUCCAGACUCCUACGGGAGGCAGCAGUAGGGAAUCUUCCGCAAUGGACGAAAGUCUGACGGAGCAACGCCGCGUGAGUGAUGAAGGUUUUCGGAUCGUAAAGCUCUGUUAUUAGGGAAGAACAAAUGUGUAAGUAACUGUGCACAUCUUGACGGUACCUAAUCAGAAAGCCACGGCUAACUACGUGCCAGCAGCCGCGGUAA
rnacentral:rRNA from 1 species